rnacentral:rRNA from 1 species
GUGAACGCUGGCGGUAGGCCUAACACAUGCAAGUCGAACGGCAGCACAGUAAGAGCUUGCUCUUACGGGUGGCGAGUGGCGGACGGGUGAGGAAUACAUCGGAAUCUACUUUUUCGUGGGGGAUAACGUAGGGAAACUUACGCUAAUACCGCAUACGACCUACGGGUGAAAGCAGGGGAUCUUCGGACCUUGCGCGAUUGAAUGAGCCGAUGUCGGAUUAGCUAGUUGGCGGGGUAAAGGCCCACCAAGGCGACGAUCCGUAGCUGGUCUGAGAGGAUGAUCAGCCACACUGGAACUGAGACACGGUCCAGACUCCUACGGGAGGCAGCAGUGGGGAAUAUUGGACAAUGGGCGCAAGCCUGAUCCAGCCAUACCGCGUGGGUGAAGAAGGCCUUCGGGUUGUAAAGCCCCUUUGUUGGGAAAGAAAGGCAGCAGGUUAAUACCCCGCUGUUCUGACGGUACCCAAAGAAUAAGCACCGGCUAACUUCGUG